rnacentral:rRNA from 1 species
AUUGAACGCUGGCGGCAGGCCUAACACAUGCAAGUCGAGCGGAUGAAGGGAGCUUGCUCCUGGAUUCAGCGGCGGACGGGUGAGUAAUGCAUAGGAAUCUGCCUGGUAGUGGGGGAUAACGUCCGGACACGGGCGCUAAUACCGCAUACGUCCUGAGGGUGAAAGUGGUGGAUCUUCGGACCUCACGCUAUCAGAUGAGCCUAGGUCGGAUUAGCUAGUUGGUGGGGUAAAGGCCUACCAAGGCGACGAUCCGUAACUGGCCUGAGAGGAUGAUCAGCCACACUGGAACUGAGACACGGUCCAGACUCCUACGGGAGGCAGCAGUGGGGAAUAUUGGACAAUGGGCGAAAGCCUGAUCCAGCCAUGCCGCGUGUGUGAAGAAGGUCUUCGGAUUGUAAAGCACUUUAAGUUGGGAGGAAGGGCAGUAAGUUAAUACCUUGCUGUUUUGACGGUACCAACAGAAUAAGCACCGGCUAACUUCGUG